rnacentral:siRNA from 1 species
UAGAAGCGACGCAUGCGCCCGCCGC